GCCCAGACCCCUACGGGAGGCAGCAGUGGGGGAUAUUGCACAAUGGGGGGAACCCUGAUGCAGCGACGCCGCGUGGGUGAAGGAGCGUUUCGGCGCGUAAAGCCCUAUCGGCAGGGAAGAAGGAGGACGGUACCUGGCUAAGAAGCCCCGGCUAACUACGUGCCAGCAGCCGCGGUAAUACGUAGGGGGCAAGCGUUAUCCGGAUUUACUGGGUGUAAAGGGAGCGUAGACGGCAGUGCAAGUCCGGAGUGAAAGCCCGGGGCUCAACCCCGGGACUGCUCUGGAAACUGUAAAGCUGGAGUGCGGGAGGGGCAGGCGGAAUUCCUGGUGUAGCGGUGAAAUGCGUAGAUAUCAGGAGGAACACCGGCGGCGAAGGCGGCCUGCUGGACCGUAACUGACGUUGAGGCUCGAAAGCGUGGGGAGCAAACAGGAUUAGAUACCCUCGUAA
rnacentral:rRNA from 1 species